AUUGAACGCUGGCGGCAGGCCUAACACAUGCAAGUCGAGCGGAGCGGCGGACGGGUGAGUAAUGCCUAGGAAUCUGCCUGGUGGUGGGGGAUAACGUCCGGAAACGGGCGCUAAUACCGCAUACUCUCAGCUGAGCCUGGGGCGGAGUAGCUAGUUGGUGGGGUAAAGGCCUACAAAGGCGACGAUCCGUAACUGGUCUGAGAGGAUGAUCAGUCACACUGGAACUGAGACACGGCCCAGACUCCUACGGGAGGCAGCAGUGGGGAAUAUUGGACAAUGGGGGAAAGCCUGAUCCAGCCAUGCCGCGUGUGUGAAGAAGGUCUUCGGAUUGUAAAGUACUUUAAGUUGGGAGGCGUUACCAACAGAAUAAGCACCGGCUAACUCCGUGCCAGCAGCCGCGGUAAUUC
rnacentral:rRNA from 1 species